rnacentral:tRNA from 1 species
GGCUCCAUAGUGUAGUGGUUUACAUAUUUGCCUAACAAGCGAAAGAUUCCUGGUUUGAUCCCGGGAGGAGACA